GACGUAGGGCGCGAGCGUUGUCCGGAUUUAUUGGGUGUAAAGAGCUCGUAGGCGGCUCGUUGCGUCGGCUGUGAAAACCCGCAGCUCAACUGUGGGCUUGCAGCUGAUACGGGCGGGCUGGGAUUCGGUAGGGGAGACUGGAAUUCCUGGUGUAGCGGUGAAAUGCGCAGAUAUCAGGAGGAACACCGGUGGCGAAGGCGGGUCUCUGGGCCGAUAUCGACGCUGAGGAGCGAAAGCGUGGGGAGCGAACAGG
rnacentral:rRNA from 1 species